CUCCAGCCUUAGUCAAACGGGUUGGUAUGUAUGGUCGGGUUGCGUUUUUCGCGCUUUCAUGUGUCUUGUGAAUAGUAUGCCAUACAGACCCGUUUGCCACUGAACCUGCAUUAACGACGACAGUGGGGCCUCCAGCCUUAGUCAAACGGGUUGGCACGUAUGGUCGGGUUGCGAUUUUGGCGCUAUCGUAAGUCUUAUGAAUAGUAUGCCAUACAGACCCGUUUGCCACUGAACCUGCAUUAACGACGACAGUGGGGCUUCCGGCCUUAGUCAAACGGGUUAACACGUAUGGUCGGGUUGCGAUGUUUUUGGCGUUUUCUCCUGGUCCUGUAAAUGGCAUACAAUAUAGACCCGUUUGCCACUGAACCUGCAUUAACGACGACAGUGGGGCUUUAGGCCUUAGUCAAACGGGUCGUCAGGUUUCAUUUUCUCUUAAAGAUCGGAAGGUGACCCUUAUUUACCAUAUAUACCCUCGCAUUGGGCCCCCAAUUUGCUAAAUCCUCAACUGUGGAUAACAUAAUUAUGCCGCAAUAUUUAGUCUGUCUGGAACUAAGCUGAGUUAAACCACAUCACUGUGUGACACUUCAAUACAUAUGAACGGCCGCUACGCUAAUACGAUUUUGUUUUUCUCUCCCUGUCUCGUCCUCGACCCGAGGACGAGACAAACAGACCCAGUCCCGGUAGAUGUGAAAGUCGGCACACCUCUGAUCUACUGGCUGUCCUUCAACGUUAUGCCCAGCUGAUACCUGACCAACGAUCACCGGCAGAACCGCUUAAUCUACGCUAAAUCUCCAUUUCCGUUCUCCCAAGGGUUUUUCCCUCCUAGGACUUAUUUUUCCUCGGAUAAAAGCCCGGGGGUUUUUUUUUCUCCUAGGGGGUUUUUCACCCCGGGGAGGCAGCCUUUUUGGGCUUUACCUAGCUUCCUCUUCUAUACGUUGCUUUAGUAAUAUGUGCAAUUAUAAUAUUGAGUCAUAGCCGCAGCAAAUUUAACUGCUCAUGCUAUCAUGUAUUUUGUUGUGCUAUCUGUCGUUUUCUGUGCUUUUCACUGCUUCUAUUUAUGUAAAGCUGCUUUGAAACAAUUGACUUUUGUGAAAAGCGCUAUAUAAAUAAAAUUGAAUUGAAUUGACACGGUAGGUACUUCUCAGGUAACUGACUCGUCGUUCUCCUCCUUUAGAGGGCUCGGGGCUGUAACACAAAUCACACUUCACCUUUAACUGUGAUUUUCUUACUUGCAGGUGGCUGGUAGCAGUGGAUACGGUAGGUACUUCUCAGGUGACGGACUCGUCGUUCUCCUCCUUUAGAGGGCUCAGGGCUGUAACACAAAUCACACUUUCUCCUUUAACUGUGCUUUUCUUACUUGCAGGUGGCUGGUAGCAGUGGAUACGGCAGUUACUUCUCAGGUGUUGAACAGGCGAUGGGUACGGUGAGUAGUAGGUCAGUAAUCUUCCUUUCCCGGGGCCUUAGUCAGAGAAGAUACGUGCAGUCACCGCCGAGCCGAACGCUGCCCUCUUCUUCCCAUGCGUGGGAAUUGCUGGACUCAGAACAGGGGCGUACCUUUGAAGAGGCUCCGUGACAGGCAGUUAGUAGCUGAUUAAGCUUCAGCAAUGCGAUAACUUCACUCACAGGCAAGACAACACUCUGUAUGGUACUCACAUGUGAUCAUUACUUCCUGUACCCUCUUUCCACCGUCACCACCGCAAUACACGUUGCCCGGGCCGGAGACUUUGUAGUGUCUCACCAGCCUCCACACUCAGGGUUAUUUGACAGCGUAUGAUAGGCUGACUCUUCGCUCGCCACACAGCGUCUUCUUCGUUCGAAUAUAGCCGACUCCAACCAAUGGUAGCUUCUGACAACAAGUACACAGCACUUCACUGCAAUACAAUCACGUGAACACACUCACUCUGUAAAUCUAAACUCACCCACGACACACUUGGUGAACAAAUAAGGUCAGGCCAUGGGUCUUUUGUGGGGUCGGUUGAAGAAUCCGCGGGGCACUGCAACGAAGAAGCCAGAGGUUUAAAAGAGUAGCUGAUGCCAAAUUCCCAGUGGUGUUGCGUUCCCGGCUCUCCCACCGCUCCGUUCCGUGAUGGGGCCGCUACGUCUGUUGCUACAACUCACACAUGAAUCAACUGGUAUACUUCAUAUACACAUAACACUUUUACACCUUCGGUACUCACAAAUGGUGAAUAUUACUUCCUCUCUGCGUCUCUUUAGCUCCCCCACCGUUCGGUUUUUCCUUUGUGUAUCACGUAGUUCAGUAACUGUUGUAAAAGAAUUUCCACAUACACUUCUAUAUGUCAAGCGAGUCAGACAUCUUACAUACAACAGGGGUUUAAAUCAUACUCAGCCCAGCCAAAGAUUGAUCCGUCUUGAUGUCCCAGACACUUGCUUGUUACUCCAAUACAAUAUUCCUAAUGCACAGCCCACCAAACAGCCAAACUGCACCGCCACAAUACACAGCCAAACCGUACCGCCACAAUCCACAGCAAAACUGAACUUCUCUGUGGGACUCCUUAGAUAAACGUCCUCCUCCCUCCUGUCGGCUCCUUCAGCCGUCUUCUUUCCGUUCGCAUAGCGAUCCCCGGAUCAACGGCGCCUUCUAAGGAGUGGACGUUUUAAUCCGCCCUUGGCGGAGCGGAGCGUUUCCACAGUCAACUCUUUCCCCGAAAUCCACUGCACACUAACCUUCGUUUUCAGGUCCUCUUUAUCCUCCUUCUAUCCGUCUCUUUCUCCAAUCACAGAUCGCUGCGUUUAUUUGUUAGACCUGGGUCUCGUUUGCCUAAUUUCCUUCGCUGUGUUUUCCAGGAAGUCCGGUGUUCCCGUUUUUACCUCCGGGUGGGAAACCUUCCGGUCGGAACCAAUCUUCUGUGUUUUUGGUUCCGCCCCCGGAAAUCGUCACCUUGUGACACAUAUAUGCUUUUAGCAAAGUAACUGUACUAAUUUGCUGUAUUCCGUUAAAGCACAGUAAGACAAACCCUUGCCAUGGUUAAAACACAGUCACUGUAGUUUAGCCUUUUAAUUUGUAAUAAAAACAAAGCUAUCACAACAAUUACCUAUCUUUUAAUACCUUUCAUGUCCAAUCAUUGUUUUUGUCUUGCAGUUACUCCAUAUCAGUCAUUUGAUGGACAGUGGGCAACCAAAUAAAAAAUAUGGCAAUUUCUGCAAAAUUAUUAAUUCUGUAGACUUGCUUCUCCAGAAGUUGGAAAUACUUGGUGUCUUACCAAUGCUAUUUAUAACUUUGCAAAGAGGCCUGCACCACUCUACCAAAAUUUAAGGUUGCCCCACCACUAUUGUCAGCGACCCCACCAUUACAGACAGAGACCCCACCGUUGCGGCCGAAGACCCCGCCUCUCCAGUCAGCGACCCCACCACUGUGGCCAGAGACCCUGCCAUUACCAUCAGAGGCCCCACCACUACAAUCAGCCACCCUGUCACUACAGUCAGCGUUCCCGCCACUGUGGCCAGAGACUGCACCACUACCAUCAGAGGCCCUGCAACUACUGUCAGCAGCCCCGACACUGCGGCCAGAGACCACGGCUGUGUGGCAAGAAGUUCCUGGGUGUCUGAGGAUGCUGUGCAGUACUAUGUGUCUGUUUAAAUACAUGCCAUUAUACAUAUCAAUACAGUAUUUGUCAUCAUAGAAAGUUAUUCUAUAAAUUUUGUUUAACACUUUAGUUUGUCUUAUUCUUGAAAGUCUGUUUUGUCAAAAUUGAUUGAUAUUUAGAUAUAGAAAUCAGGGGAAGAAAUCAGUUUUGUUGUCAACACAUCUUCACAUGUUGUUGUUACAGUAAAGUGUGGUGAAUACUAUGCAUUAAAGAUGUUUAUAUACAACAUUUUAUAAAUGAGUUCUUGUGAUGUUUUUUAUUAUUUCAUAAUUGAUUUGGAUAAAAAGGAAAUACCAAUUUUCUUCUUCUAGAAAUGAAUAUUAAUCAGAUUUAAGACAAUAAUGUGCUAACAUACUACCUACAUGAACUCUGAACCUUGUUGUUAUAUUGAGUGGCCUGGUAAACAAUGAAGUUUUACAUGUCUACUGAAUGUUUACAUGGUUGUCUUUAUUUACCAUCAUCCCUGUACUCUUGAUUUUGUUCUACAGAUCAUGCUAAUAAAAUAAAUGAUGAAACCUAUUUUA